rnacentral:tRNA from 4 species
GGACCCAUAGCUCAGUUGGUCAGAGCACUCGGCUCAUAACCGAGUAGUCCUAGGUUCGAAUCCUAGUGGGUCCACCA